rnacentral:rRNA from 1 species
AUCGAACGCUGGCGGCAGGCCUAACACAUGCAAGUCGAACGAGUGGCGGACGGGUGAGUAUUGUCUGGGAAACUGCCCGAUGGCGGGGGAUAACUACUGGAAACGUUAGCUAAUACCUCAUACCAUCGGAUGUUCCCAGAUGGGCUUAGCUAGUAGGGGGGGUAACGGGUCACCUAGGCGACGAUCCCUAGCUGGUCUGCGAGGAUGACGAGCCACACUGGAAAUGAUACACGGUCCAGACGCCUAAGGGAGGCAGCAGUGGGGAAUAUUGCGCAGUGGGCGCAAGCCUGAUGUAGCCAUGCCGCGUGUAUGAAGAAGGCCUUCGGGUUGUAAAGUACUUUAAGCGAGGAGGCGGUAUGUGCAGAAGAAGCACCGGCUAACUCCGUGCCAGCAGCCGCGGUAAUAC